GAUAAGGUGGAAGCAAGACUGAGUAUUAUGGGAUACUUGAGGGGCCCUGUGGACCUUGUGAAACUUGUUAUGGAAAGCCUAAGGGAAGGGCUGAAGGCAGAUAAAUUGGGUCCAGGUGGAUCCAGGAGGAAUAAACUUGAGAAAAGAGAGAAAAGGGGCCGCUUAUGUGUGAACAGGCUGCCAGUCAAUUAGAUCGUCUGCCUGAGCUCUGUGGCUGAUCACCACAGUCUAUCCUAUCUUCCUAUUAAAUAAUUUUUCUUAACAAUUUUUCCUGUGUAAACCCACUCCGUAGCCUAUGUGCGAGUGCUGUAGGAUCUGUAUGUCAGUAUCUGGAGAGACCUGCAUGCAAGAGAGUUCCGGGCGCCUGCAGCUGGAGAAAAGACCUCGGUCCAGAGGGCCCGUACCUCUGUGCUCAGCACCUGGAGGGACACCAAGCAACCUUCAAGCCAAAUUUGAAUUCUCACAGACCAGAAGCAAAAGGACUCCGAAGUCUGGAUGGGACCUGACAGAGAAGACAUACUGGUGGCAUUUUUAAAAGGCUCUUGGCAUCAACUGUUAAAGCAGAGAAAUCAAUCCUCCCAAACUAGCCUGAAUCAAAGGUCCAUGUCUCUCCCGUGCUGAGGACCCCAGAGCUGGACGCAGUACUGCAGUUUUGCAGGGAUUACUUCCUACAGCUUCAUUAAUAGAGGUCACAGAAAUGGAGAUCUGGAAGUGACCUCGUCCAAGAGAUCAUCUAGUCUUAACCCCAUGCACUGAGGAAGGAGACAAACCAUCCUUGACAGACACUGGUCUAUCUCAAACAGUGAAGAACAUUUUCCCUGUUUUCUCCUAGGUUUUCUGUUUCACUCCUCUACCAUCCUACAGUUUCAGUGUUUUUCCUGUCACCCUGCUAUCAAGUCCUUUUGUAGAUUAAGCUCAUUUUUCCUGUUACACCUCUCCAGUGGUCACAAAGAACAAUUUAUCUCUCUCUCCCAAUAGCUUACCUUUUUUUUUAAAGAAAUCUUAAUUCCUUCAACCUGCAGACUAGCCAGAGAAAGCUCACUAGAGACUUUUGCAACCUACAUUACCCAAAACUGGAGAUAGAGCUACUCAAAACGGGACACAGCUUCAGCUGAGGCCUUAGGAGGGAAGAGCAGAGUGAGGUCCCCAUCAGCCCAGAGAGGUGAUGGGGAAAAGAUUUUUCUUAGGAAUGAGUGGGCAUGUGCAGAGUUUGCUCAACCCACUGAAGUCUGCUGGACUGGGGGAAAGGCCUUGUAUUAAAAGGAUUCACCAGUGGUGGGGCUGAGGACUGGUUUUCAAUGAAUUUUACUUAGUACUUCAGCCAGAAAGUAGAGUUUUGCUGCUCUCCCUCCACACACUUAUGAAUGUGUUCUCUCAUGCGUUGCUGAAGUAAUUAACGAAAAUAUGAAGUGGAGCCAGGCUUACAUUGAAUCCUGAGGGAUCUGACAGACUGUCCCAGUCUGGAAGAAAACCACAAGGAACCAAAGCAUCAUGGUGCCUUACAAUUAAAA